rnacentral:rRNA from 1 species
AUUGAACGCUGGCGGCAGGCCUAACACAUGCAAGUCGAGCGGUAGAGAGAAGCUUGCUUCUCUUGAGAGCGGCGGACGGGUGAGUAAAGCCUAGGAAUCUGCCUGGUAGUGGGGGAUAACGUUCGGAAACGGACGCUAAUACCGCAUACGUCCUACGGGAGAAAGCAGGGGACCUUCGGGCCGUGCGCUAUCAGAUGAGCCGGGGUCGGAUUAGCUAGUUGGUGAGGUAAUGGCUCACCAAGGCGACGAUCCGUAACUGGUCUGAGAGGAUGAUCAGUCACACUGGAACUGAGACACGGUCCAGACUCCUACGGGAGGCAGCAGUGGGGAAUAUUGGACAAUGGGCGAAAGCCUGAUCCAGCCAUGCCGCGUGUGUGAAGAAGGUCUUCGGAUUGUAAAGCACUUUAAGUUGGGAGGAAGGGCAUUAACCUAAUACGUUAGUGUUUUGACGUUACCGACAGAAUAAGCACCGGCUAACUCUGUGCCAGCCGCCGCCGUAA